rnacentral:rRNA from 1 species
UACGGGGGGGGCAAGCGUUGUUCGGAAUUACUGGGCGUAAAGCGCACGCAAGCGGUUGGACAAGUCUGGCGUGAAAUCCUCUGGCUUAACCAGGGGCGGUCGCUGGAGACUGUUCGGCUUGAGGCGAUGAGAGGGGUGCAGAAUUCCCGGUGUAGUGGUGGAAUGCGUAGAGAUCGGGAGGAAUACCAGUGGCGAAAGCGGCACCCUGGCGUCGUACUGACGCACAUGUGCGAAAGCGUGGGGAGCGAACGGG